AGUGAACGCUGGCGGUAGGCCUAACACAUGCAAGUCGAACGGCAGCACAGGAGAGCUUGCUCUCUGGGUGGCGAGUGGCGGACGGGUGAGGAAUACAUCGGAAUCUACUUUUUCGUGGGGGAUAACGUAGGGAAACUUACGCUAAUACCGCAUACGACAUACGUGUGAAAGCAGGGGACCUUCGGGCCUUGCGCGAUUGAAUGAGCCGAUGUGGGAUUAGCUAGUUGGCGGGGUAAAGGCCCACCAAGGCGACGAUCCGUAGCUGGUCUGAGAGGAUGAUCAGCCACACUGGAACUGAGACACGGUCCAGACUCCUACGGGAGGCAGCAGUGGGGAAUAUUGGACAAUGGGCGCAAGCCUGAUCCAGCCAUACCGCGUGGGUGAAGAAGGCCUUCGGGUUGUAAAGCCCUUUUGUUGGGAAAGAAAUCCAGCUGGCUAAUACCCGGUUGGGAUGACGGUACCCAAAGAAUAAGCACCGGCUAACUUCGUGCCAGCAGCCGCGGUAA
rnacentral:rRNA from 1 species